AUACGGAGGACGCGAGCGUUAUCCGGAUUCAUUGGGUUUAAAGGGUGCGCAGGCGGCCGUGCAAGUCAGCGGUGAAAGCCCGGGGCCCAACCCCGGAAGUGCCGUUGAUACUGCAUGGCUUGAAUGCGGUCGAGGCGGGCGGAACGUGGCGUGUAGCGGUGGAAUGCAUAGAUAUGCCACAGAACGCCGAUAGCGGAGGCAGCUCGCCAGGCCUGCAUGGACGCUCGGGCACGAAAGCGUGGGGAUCGAACAGGAUUAGAUACCCUGGUAGUCCACGCCGUAAACGAUGGGCGCUCGUCGUCGGCGGCAGACAGUCGGCGGCCAAGCGAAAGCGAUAAGCGCCCCACCUGGGGAGUACGGUCGCAAGGCUAAAACUCAAAGGAAUUGACGGGG
rnacentral:rRNA from 1 species